CUGAUGGCGACCGGCGCACGGGUGCGUAACGCGUAUGCAACCUACCUGUAACAGGGGGAUAACACUGAGAAAUCGGUACUAAUACCGCGUAACACUGUGAGAGGCAUCUCUUGUGGUUGAAAGUUUCGGCGGUUACAGAUGGGCAUGCGUUGUAUUAGCUGGUUGGUAAGGUAACGGCUUACCAAGGCGACGAUACAUAGGGGGACUGAGAGGUUAACCCCCCACAUUGGUACUGAGACACGGACCAAACUCCUACGGGAGGCAGCAG
rnacentral:rRNA from 1 species